rnacentral:lncRNA from 1 species
UGACCUUCAGCUUCCACCCCCUCUGGGGAACAGGAGACACAGAAGAUGGAGGGAGGGAUGGCAGCCUACCCUGUGGCAACGCGGGAGUCGCGUUGCCGCAGGGGGCGCAUUGGGGUCCAGCCGUCCCCAGAACGCAGAUCAGAGGUAGUCGGACCUUUCCCGCUGGCGCGCAGCCUCAGCUAGUUCUGUGAAAUGGGAGGAUCUGAAACGGCCAUGAUUAUUAAGAAAAAGAAAGAAUGAAGCUUCUUAAAUAAGUAUCAAAAAUUACAAAAGAUAGUGGUAAUAAUACAAAAUAUAAGCUCAACAAAUUAUAUGUAGACAAAAAAAGUCCAAAAGGAAAGAAGACACAAUUGUCACAGUUAUACUGGUUAUUUCUAGAUGAAGAUGUUAAGAGUGUUUGUGUGUUCGCUCUUGUUGUGCUUUGUGUUUCUUGUUAUUGAUACUAAGGCAAAAGUUUGGCCUUAUUUCCAAAAUUAGAAAAACUGACCAAAGUUCUAUGGA